UUUUUUAUGGGUUUUCUAUUUUCUCCUUUAUUUUAAUUGGUUUAAAAAUACUUUUAUGCAUUUUUAAAUUCUUAAAAAUUUAUUUUAUGCUUCUUAUUUUAUUUUCAACCUUGCAUAAUUUUCUUGGUCAUUAUUUAGUAUUUUGAAGGACUCUAUGAAUUUUCUCUUUUAUUUCCCUUUUAUAAUUCAUUUUAAAAAUAUUUUUUAAUCCAUU
rnacentral:lncRNA from 1 species